rnacentral:misc_RNA from 1 species
AAUCUUUUUUUUUUUUUUUUGGCAUAUAGUUACCUUUUGAAUUUUUCUGCUACCAUCUUUCUUGUCAACAUUGAAAUGUUAAUCUAUGUUUUUUUUUUCCCCCAAAUCGGUGAUAUAGAUUGCUUGAAUAACUUGUUGGGUUUGAUAUAAAAAUUAUUGUGGAGUUUGUUCAAGAGCAUGAGUUAUAUAUUUGGUCAAUUUGGAGUGGGUAUGUAAUUAGACUGUUUUGUUGCACUUUAAGAAGUGUUUUUUGUCUUUAAUUUCAAAAAUUUUUAUUUUAAUUGUGUAGAUAUAUGAUUGCUUAAAUAAUAUUUUUUGUUUACUGGAAAGAAAAAAAAAAAAAGAAGUGGUAUUUUGAUUAUUUUGUGUACUGG